UUUGCGCACAGAUUAGUAAGAGAGUCAUGGAAUACUUCGUCAGUAUAUUCUAGGCAUGGAUCCAAUCAUAAGUAAGCAAAGGACAAACUUCAAAGUGACGUGAAAUAUUUAGUGGAAGGUGUGCGAAUCUCCUGUAAAUAAUGCCUCAUAUGUAGUGAACGUGUCAUCAGGAACCGUUGAACACCAUGGAACAGACAGAGUAUAUUGUAAUGAAUAUCUAUAUACGUUAAUAACUGAAAGACAAACUUCCUGCAUAUGGAAGUGUAGGCUUUUUUUUUUUUUUUUUUGGUGUUCAGAUGUCACAUUAAUAAUUAUGACUGACAGUGAAGAGUAUGCUAGUUGUGCGUCAGUUGAGGCAUCUUCCUCACCAUUCUAUGCGAUGUACCGUGUUCUGAAGGACCUCUGCACGAACAAUGCACAGUUCUUUCAACAGGACGAGAGUGAAAGUGGACAGAGGCUGAAUGCUGGAUUCCUGGCACUAAUAGACCAGGUGGACAUGAUCAUACCAAUGGUGGAUGAUGUUAGGAAAAUAGCUCCACUGUAUGACUUUGAUGAAGGCACGCCUGGUAAUGGAUAUCGUAGCUUUGUGUCUGUGAUCGACAAGUGUGUGCAGCAUGGUGUUAAGCUAAGCAGGCUGGUGUGUGACAGCCGAGAUUCAUUCUUGUUCAGGAAGACCUUCUAUAUGAGGGAGGUGGAGGCAUGUAGCCACUUACUGGCAUCUCUAGGAACAUGCAUGGCACAUCUCCAGACACUCUUGUCUUGGAGCACAGAGAGUCAGCUAUUCCCAGAUGAACAACAUUCCACAGAAGAUUUAUUGAACCGUGUGGAGAGCAUCAACAUGUACUGCUUCUAUGGCCGCUGUCUGGGGUUCCAGUUUUGUGAAUCAAUGCAGAAAAUACUAAAGACAGUCUCCAUCUGCAUGGCAUCUUUCAGUGAGAUCUACUAUGGGAAUGGAGGCCUACUGGCUCGAGCUACCAGCUCUGUAUGGACAGGUGGAAAAUAUCUGCUGGAUCCUGAAUUGCGAGCACGAAGAAUUGUCAAUAUUUCUAAGCAUGCUUCUGUUGAUUUCUGUAAAUCUUUCUGGCACCUGGCAGAUACAGAACUGAUGGGGCGGUUGCCUGGCAUGGUUUGCCCAGCAGUUGCAGUUAACAAAGUGGUCUGUAUUCCACCUGAACCAUUGGUGCAUAUAGCACCAGAUGGAUGUGCUAUUUCUGUGCCCAUUCCAACAGCACACUUUGGACCAGCACCCAUAAUGGCUCGCUUCCUAUCUGCUGUCAGGCGAGAGGGCAUGAUUGCGGACUCGAAGGAACGGGGAUCAAAUUUGCUGCCUCCAUCCCCUGGACUCAUUAUCCACUGCCAUGGUGGUGGUUUUGUUGCGCAGAGCUCCCGCUCACAUGAGAUAUAUCUGCGAGACUGGGCAUGUCAACUGAAAGUGCCCAUGCUGUCCAUUGACUACUCACUGGCCCCACAGGCGCCUUUCCCCCGGGCAUUAGAGGAGGCAUUAUAUGCAUAUUGCUGGGCUAUCAAUAAUGCUCACAUAAUGGGCUCCACAGCAGAAAAAGUCAUCCUUGUUGGGGACUCAGCAGGAGCAAACCUCAACAUUGGAGUGACCAUGAAGUGUAUUGAGCUUGGCAUACGUGUCCCCAAUGGGUUGUUUCUGGCCUAUGUACCUGUGUUGGUGUCAUUUGUACCAUCUCCCUCAAGACUCCUUUGUCUAAUGGAUCCACUGCUGCCAUUUGGCUUCAUGAUCCGCUGCAUGAAGGCAUAUGCUUGUCCUUCUAAGGAUGACAUCACUAGCACAUCAUCAAACACAAAGACACUAUUAGAAGGCAGUGACACAGAGUCCUUUGAGGAGGUCUCGGAGAGUGAUCUGCAGGAGCUGGCAGCCCACAAGAGUGUAUUGUCAAAUGAUUCUGACACACUGACAACAGUGUCUCUGGCAUCCUUGCAAUCAAAAGCUGAGGCAGACCAUACAGUUGAAAACAAUGGAUGGGAAUAUGUUAAUGUUGCAGGUGCUCCCAACCCAGCAGAAUGCUACAUGGAGAAGUAUGUUCUAGACUCUGACACAGAUUCAGAAGGGUGUAAGAUCCAAGUGCUUCGUUCAAAACCAAAAGUAGAAGAGAAUGUCUUAUUUGAGGUGCCCACUCAACAGGACUCAGGACUGAGUUCCAGACUUGGUCGUGCUGUGGGGAACAUAGCAAAUUACAUGACUGGCACUGAGCCACAGCAGACACCAGCUGGAAAGCAAGGCCAAAGUUUGAGUCUUGGUAGUGAGUCUCUAGAGGCCCUAGACUCACUCAUGCAGCGCAGUGCUUCAGAUGACUUGCACUUCACUAUCCCCAGAGAUCCAUAUCUGUCUCCGUACUGGGCAAGUGAUGAGGUGCUAAAACAACUCCCCACUACCAAGAUAGUGUUUCAUUGCAGUCAGUUCAGUUGGACCCUUGUCUGGAUGACUGUGUGAUGUUUGCCAAGAAACUGAAGAAGCUUGGUGUAGCUGUAUCAUUGGAUGUGAUGGAAGGCCUCCCUCAUGGCUUUCUUAACUUCAGUCAGCUGAGCAAGGAGGCACGCUCUGGAUCCAACCAGUGUGUCAGGAGGAUUCAAGAACUCCUAUGCUUGUAGCAUCAUGUGGUUACAUUCUAAUUUAAAUGGUAAUUAUUGAAUCAGCAAUAAAAUGUAUAUUUCAUAGAUUGUGUACACAGAAAUUACAGAAUCUUAAGUUCUCUUGUGUCAUUCAUCCUCCAUCCCUCUACUGAGUUCCAUUUCAUCUGAUCCCAGUGAUAGUGUAUCAUUUUAAUCAGCCUUUUCAUCAGAGUAUUCUUGUUGCUAGAUGCUUUCAUGUGGACAUAUGUUAAAACUAUAGUUUUAUCAGUUCCUUUGCAUAUCCAAGUUCAUGGAACUCAGUCCUUCAGAAGCUGAUUGUCAUUCAGAUGGUCAACAAAUGCACUGCCUUUCAUGGAAUCUGAAGAUACAUUAUCAUCUUUUAUUGAUUCUCUUCAAUUAAAAUAUUUUAAUUCAACUAUAAAAGAUUAUCCUCUACAAAAAGAUUUAAAAAUUUAUAGCCAGCCACUGGAUACUAUGUGCAGCCAGUUGAUCCAGUGCAUACCCACACAUCUUAUUUAGUUCAGACCAGUUUAUGUAGUAUCCAGGUCUAUCAAGCAGCUCUAAACUUCAUUAUUAUAGAUGCUUUUCUUCAGAGUUCAAAUUGUGGUUCACAUAGCAUUAAUACAAACUGUUCAAUCUGGAACAGAUUUUAGCCAGUCAUGAAAAUCCAUUCAGAACCUUUCAUGUGUACAAUUUACACCCCUAGAAUUGCUGGUUUUCUUCAUCAUUGCCAUCAUAGGUUCUGUGGCUACCAUGUUACUGUACAUACUGCACAAAUACUGGUGUACAACAGUGAGUUUGCCUCCAACAACAUCGUCAGAGCAAGUUUCCUUAAAAUGUCAGUUGGUUAAACAAGACUAGAAAAAUGUGUACUUUUUGGAGUACACUAAGAUUCCAAAGAUAUUCUUUAUGCCACAUAGCAGGUGUUGUCAACAGGGGAAUAUAAAAUUCAACUGUGGUAUCUAAAGUAACUGUGACAUUCAGGGUCAUUGUAGUAACAGUGUGCUUAAAGACUAGACAGACAUGGACGGGCCUUUAAAGUGUUUUUCACUUAUGCUGAAGCCUAAACAAGACCUGAAAAUUAUAUGGAGAGGGGACAUGACUGUACCACCAGCCUAUCUUUAAAGUAAGGAAUGUAUUCUAAAACUGAAGGUCCCAAACAUCAAUGAGUGAAAUUACUAAAAUUUGGGUUUGUACAGAAAUAUUAUGUCAGCUCUGUUGUUAUGAAGAUGGAGUGUAAAUGAAUGAGGUAAAUUGUAUUGCAGAUUGUGGUUGUACAUGAUUUCCUGCAUAGAAUUUGGCAGUACUGUGCUGGUUAAUCUGGCAAGUGUGAUGGCUGCACAGGCAGUCAUAUAUCUCAUGUCUUUUGGAGUUUUUAAUUCAUUUAACAAGAACUGAAUUAAUAUACAGGUUCAGACACAUCUACGCUCUUAAUCCCUUGACAUGUAUCUUUUAAUAUCAAAAUAGUUGUUUUAACAAAAUUUAUCAGGAUUGGAGCUAUGUACAAGACUAAAACCAAUGUCUCACUGUCAUUUUUCUUUUGAAUACCUGUGACUAGCAGUCUUUAACAUUCUCAUAAUAGAAUUUCAUCACAGUCCAUUCACCAUGAGCACAGUUGAGUUGUUAGCAUGCUUCAGAAAUCCUGGGUUUGAAUCUCUAGCCAGAUGUUACAAUAGACCACAAAUUCACACAGCUUUUUCAGUUCAUCAUAAUGUUACGCUACAUAACCCAUGAAGUUGAAAAUCUGUGUGUAAACUACCCAGACAACUUAAACAUUUCUUGGUUAAAUUUGUAUUUUUAUUAGUAUCAAUAUUAUGCUUUUAAAAAUGAAUCAUCAAUAUAAAAGACUGGAAUACUGAAAAAUUAAACAGUUGCCAUACAAAGAGGUUUUUUAGAGUAUUCUAAUGUAUAAUAGCAUAAUGACAUUCCAUUUUAGUGAAAUGAGUUCACCUCACCCAUACUUAUGAUGUGUUAAAUUUAUUUUGGUGUUCUAGUUCCAAUCCUUGGUUUGGCAACAAAGAUAUACAUUAUUCUGACUGUUCUGGAUGAAUGUGUUAGCAGGGACUCAUGACAAUGCUAUUGAAACUUGCAACAUAACCAUAUAUUUCCAUUAAUUACAAAAUGUAUUUCAGCUAGAGAAGUCUGUUGAAGUCUAGGUAUCAGAAAUGUAAAACUGAAAAAGAGUAAGGUCCAUAUUACAAAUCAUUUGUGGACAUAAAUAAAUGAAAUAACAUGCCCAAUGUU